rfam:Oryza glaberrima chromosome 6 Oglab06_0025_7, whole genome shotgun sequence.
AAAAAGGGUUUCCGUGUCCAAUGUUUGACCGUUCGUCUUAUUUAAAAAAAUUAUGAAAAAAAUUAAAAAGACAAGUCACGUAUAAAAUAUUAAUCAUGUUUUAUCAUCUAACAACAAUGAAAAUACGAAUUAUAAAAAAAUUUCAUAUAAGACUGACAAUGAAAAUACGAAUUAUAAAAAAGUUUCAUAUAAGACGGACAAUCAAAGUUAGACACGGAAAUCCAUGGUUUGUCUUUUU